GACGAACGCUGGCGGCGUGCUUAACACAUGCAAGUCGAACGCUGAAGCUCAGCUUUUGUUGGGUGGAUGAGUGGCGAACGGGUGAGUAACACGUGAGUAACCUGCCCCCUUCUUUGGGAUAACGCCCGGAAACGGGUGCUAAUACUGGAUAUUCACUGGUCUUCGCAUGGGGGUUGGUGGAAAGGGUUUUUCUGGAGGGGGAUGGGCUCGCGGCCUAUCAGCUUGUUGGUGGGGUGAUGGCCUACCAAGGCUUUGACGGGUAGCCGGCCUGAGAGGGUGACCGGUCACAUUGGGACUGAGAUACGGCCCAGACUCCUACGGGAGGCAGCAGUGGGGAAUAUUGCACAAUGGGCGCAAGCCUGAUGCAGCGACGCCGCGUGAGGGAUGGAGGCCUUCGGGUUGUGAACCUCUUUCGCUCAUGGUCAAGCCGCAACAAUGGUUGUGGUGAGGGUAGUGGGUAAAGAAGCGCCGGCUAACUACGUG
rnacentral:rRNA from 1 species